rnacentral:misc_RNA from 1 species
GAUGAAGAACGUAGCGAAAUGCGAUAAGUAAUGUGAAUUGCAGAAUUCAGUGAAUCAUCGAAUCUUUGAACGCACAUUGCGCCCGCCAGUAUUCUGGCGGGCAUGCCUGUUCGAGCGUCAUUUCAACCAUCAAGCCCCCGGCUUGUGUUGGGGACCUGCGGCUGCCGCAGGCCCUGAAAAGCAGUGGCGGGCUCGCUGUCACACCGAGUGUAGUAGCAUACAUCUCGCUCUGGGCGUGCUGCGGGUUCCGGCCGUUAAACCACCUUCAUAACCCAAGGUUGACCUCGGAUCAGGUAGGAAGACCCGCUGAACUUAAGCAUAUCAAUAAGCGGAGGA